rnacentral:rRNA from 1 species
UACAGAGGUCUCAAGCGUUGUUCGGAUUCAUUGGGCGUAAAGGGUGUGUAGGUGGCGCCGUAAGUCGGGUGUGAAAUCUCGGAGCUUAACUCCGAAACUGCAUUCGAUACUGCCGUGCUUGAGGACUGGAGAGGAGACUGGAAUUUACGGUGUAGCGGUGAAAUGCGUAGAUAUCGUAAGGAAGACCAGCGGCGAAGGCGGGUCUCUGGACAGUUCCUGACGCUGAGGCACGAAGGCCAGGGGAGCAAACGGG